GCAUCGGUGGUUCAGUGGUAGAAUGCUCGCCUGCCACGCGGGCGGCCCUGGUUUGAUUCCCAGCGGAUGCA
rnacentral:tRNA from 1 species